rnacentral:rRNA from 1 species
UAUGUGAUCGUCUCUCGCAUAUCAAUAAGCGGAGGAAAAGAAACUAACAAGGAUUCCCCUAGUAACGGCGAGUGAAGCGGGAAGAGCUCAAAUUUGAAAUCUUAAAGGGUUUCCCUUUACGAAUUGUAGUUUAAAGAAGUGUUUUCUGUUGAGGUUUUGGUAAAAGUUCUUUGGAAUAGGACAUCAUAGAGGGUGAGAAUCCCGUAUUUGACCUUUACUUUCAACUUUGUGAUACACUUUCAAAGAGUCGGAUUGUUUGGGAAUGCAGUCCAAAAUGGGUGGUAAAUUUCAUCUAAAGCUAAAUAUUGGCGAGAGACCGAUAGCGAACAAGUACCGUGAGGGAAAGAUGAAAAGAACUUUGAAAAGAGAGUUAAACAGUACGUGAAAUUGUCAAAAGGGAAGCGUUUGACACCAGUGUUGUUUUUCUGAAAAUCAAUUAAAGAACUGUUUAUGCUAAGCUGUUUAGACUUUAUCAGCUAAUCUGUUUAGUUUUGAGCUUUUCUUUAAUGCACUUUUCAGUUAACAAGUCAACAUCAAUUUCUUUUGCUGUAAAAAAGCUUGAGGAAGGUGGCUUGAGAUUCGUCUUAAGUGUUUAUAGCCUCUUGCCUAUGCAGUCGGAGAGAUUGAGGUCUGCAGCGUAGAUCCUUCGGGGCUAAAUGCAUUUGUGCUAAGUUAUAGCAUUUUAUAGACAACUUGUUGACUAUGAUUUGUCUUGUAGCUUACUCGCUUAUGUUAUUUUACCUACGCUUAGGAUGUUGAAGUCAUCGUAUCGCGC